rnacentral:rRNA from 1 species
AGUGAACGCUGGCGGUAGGCCUAACACAUGCAAGUCGAACGGCAGCACAGUAAGAGCUUGCUCUUACGGGUGUCGAGUGGCGGACGGGUGAGGAAUACAUCGGAAUCUACUUUUUCGUGGGGGAUAACGUAGGGAAACUUACGCUAAUACCGCAUACGACCUACGGGUGAAAGCAGGGGAUCUUCGGACCUUGCGCGAUUGAAUGAGCCGAUGUCGGAUUAGCUAGUUGGCGGGGUAAAGGCCCACCAAGGCGACGAUCCGUAGCUGGUCUGAGAGGAUGAUCAGCCAGACUGGAACUGAGACACGGUCCAGACUCCUACGGGAGGCAGCAGUGGGGAAUAUUGGACGAUGGGGGCAAGCCUGAUCCAGCCAUACCGCGUGGGUGAAGAAGGCCUUCGGGUUGUAAAGCCCUUUUGUUGGGAAAGAAAAGCAGCAGGUUAAUACCCCGCUGUUCUGACGGUACCCAAAGAAUAAGCACCGGCUAACUUCGUG